rnacentral:rRNA from 1 species
GGGUUGUGAGGUUAAGCGACUAAGCGUACACGGUGGAUGCCCUGGCAGUCAGAGGCGAUGAAGGACGUGCUAAUCUGCGAAAAGCGACGGCGAGGUGAUAUGAACCUUUGACCCGGCGAUGUCCGAAUGGGGAAACCCAGUGCAAUUCGUUGCACUAUCGUUAACUGAAUACAUAGGUUAACGAGGCGAACCGGGGGAACUGAAACAUCUAAGUACCCCGAGGAAAAGAAAUCAACCGAGAUUCCCCCAGUAGCGGCGAGCGAACGGGGAGCAGCCCGGAGUCUGAAUCAGCUUGUGUGUUAGUGGAACGGUCUGGAAAGUCCGACGGUACAGGGUGAUAGUCCCGUACACGAAAACACACAGGUUGUGAACUCGAAGAGUAGGGCGGGACACGUGGUAUCCUGUCUGAAUAUGGGGGGACCAUCCUCCAAGGCUAAAUACUCCUGACUGACCGAUAGUGAACCAGUACCGUGAGGGAAAGGCGAAAAGAACCCCGGCGAGGGGAGUGAAAAAGAACCUGAAACCGUGUACGUACAAGCAGUGGGAGCACCUUCGGGUGUGACUGCGUACCUUUUGUAUAAUGGGUCAGCGACUUAUAUUCUGUAGCAAGGUUAACCGUAUAGGGGAGCCGAAGGGAAACCGAGUCUUAACUGGGCGUUAAGUUGCAGGGUAUAGACCCGAAACCCGGUGAUCUAGCCAUGGGCAGGUUGAAGGUUGGGUAACACUAACUGGAGGACCGAACCGACUAAUGUUGAAAAAUUAGCGGAUGACCUGUGGCUGGGGGUGAAAGGCCAAUCAAACCGGGAGAUAGCUGGUUCUCCCCGAAAGCUAUUUAGGUAGCGCCUCGUGAAUUCAUCUUCGGGGGUAGAGCACUGUUUCGGCUAGGGGGCCAUCCCGGCUUACCAACCCGAUGCAAACUACGAAUACCGAAGAAUGUUAUCACGGGAGACACACGGCGGGUGCUAACGUCCGUCGUGAAGAGGGAAACAACCCAGACCGCCAGCUAAGGUCCCAAAGUCAUGGUUAAGUGGGAAACGAUGUGGGAAGGCACAGACAGCCAGGAUGUUGGCUUAGAAGCAGCCAUCAUUUAAAGAAAGCGUAAUAGCUCACUGGUCGAGUCGGCCUGCGCGGAAGAUGUAACGGGGCUAAACCAUGCACCGAAGCUGCGGCAGCGACACUAUGUGUUGUUGGGUAGGGGAGCGUUCUGUAAGCCGUUGAAGGUGUGCUGUGAGGCAUGCUGGAGGUAUCAGAAGUGCGAAUGCUGACAUAAGUAACGAUAAAGCGGGUGAAAAGCCCGCUCGCCGGAAGACCAAGGGUUCCUGUCCAACGUUAAUCGGGGCAGGGUGAGUCGACCCCUAAGGCGAGGCCGAAAGGCGUAGUCGAUGGGAAACAGGUUAAUAUUCCUGUACUUGGUGUUACUGCGAAGGGGGGACGGAGAAGGCUAUGUCAGCCGGGCGACGGUUGUCCCGGUUUAAGCAUGUAGGCGGAGGUUCCAGGUAAAUCCGGUACCUUUUAACGCUGAGGUGUGAUGACGAGGCACUACGGUGCUGAAGUGAUAAAUGCCCUGCUUCCAGGAAAAGCCUCUAAGCAUCAGGUAACACGAAAUCGUACCCCAAACCGACACAGGUGGUCAGGUAGAGAAUACCAAGGCGCUUGAGAGAACUCGGGUGAAGGAACUAGGCAAAAUGGUGCCGUAACUUCGGGAGAAGGCACGCUGAUAGGUAGGUGAAGCCCCUGCGGGCGGAGCUGAAAUCAGUCGAAGAUACCAGCUGGCUGCAACUGUUUAUUAAAAACACAGCACUGUGCAAACACGAAAGUGGACGUAUACGGUGUGACGCCUGCCCGGUGCCGGAAGGUUAAUUGAUGGGGUUAGCGGCAACGCGAAGCUCUUGAUCGAAGCCCCGGUAAACGGCGGCCGUAACUAUAACGGUCCUAAGGUAGCGAAAUUCCUUGUCGGGUAAGUUCCGACCUGCACGAAUGGCGUAAUGAUGGCCAGGCUGUCUCCACCCGAGACUCAGUGAAAUUGAACUCGCUGUGAAGAUGCAGUGUACCCGCGGCAAGACGGAAAGACCCCGUGAACCUUUACUAUAGCUUGACACUGAACACUGGUCCUUGAUGUGUAGGAUAGGUGGGAGGCUUUGAAGCGUGGACGCCAGUCUGCGUGGAGCCAUCCUUGAAAUACCACCCUUUAAUGGCUGGUGUUCUAACGUAGACCCGUGAUCCGGGUUGCGGACAGUGUCUGGUGGGUAGUUUGACUGGGGCGGUCUCCUCCCAAAGAGUAACGGAGGAGCACGAAGGUUGGCUAAUCCUGGUCGGACAUCAGGAGGUUAGUGCAAUGGCAUAAGCCAGCUUGACUGCGAGCGUGACGGCGCGAGCAGGUGCGAAAGCAGGUCAUAGUGAUCCGGUGGUUCUGAAUGGAAGGGCCAUCGCUCAACGGAUAAAAGGUACUCCGGGGAUAACAGGCUGAUACCGCCCAAGAGUUCAUAUCGACGGCGGUGUUUGGCACCUCGAUGUCGGCUCAUCACAUCCUGGGGCUGAAGUAGGUCCCAAGGGUAUGGCUGUUCGCCAUUUAAAGUGGUACGCGAGCUGGGUUUAGAACGUCGUGAGACAGUUCGGUCCCUAUCUGCCGUGGGCGCUGGAGAAUUGAGGGGGGCUGCUCCUAGUACGAGAGGACCGGAGUGGACGCAUCACUGGUGUUCGGGUUGUCAUGCCAAUGGCACUGCCCGGUAGCUAAAUGCGGAAGAGAUAAGUGCUGAAAGCAUCUAAGCACGAAACUUGCCCCGAGAUGAGUUCUCCCUGAGACUUUAAGUCUCCUGAAGGAACGUUGAAGACGACGACGUUGAUAGGUCGGGUGUGUAAGCGCAGCGAUGCGUUGAGCUAACCGAUACUAAUGAACCGUGAGGCUUAACCUUACAACGCCGAAG